rnacentral:ncRNA from 1 species
UAAAAAAGGGGAGUGCAGAGGGGGCACCCCUCACCGAUGAGGGAGGGUGCUCAGGCUGCUUGCAGCCGCCGAAGGGAAC